rnacentral:piRNA from 1 species
UCUUAUACAGGGAUGUUAACAUCCUAGGCCA